AUUGAACGCUGGCGGCAGGCCUAACACAUGCAAGUCGAACGAGUGGCGGACGGGUGAGUAAUGUCUGGGAAACUGCCUGGUGGAGGGGGAUAAAUACUGGAAACGGUAGCUAAUACCGCAUCCCAUAGGAGGGGCCAAGAUGGGAUUAGCUAGUAGGGGGGGUAAAGGCUCACCGAGGCGACGAUCCCUAGCUGGUCUGAGAGGAUGACCAGCCACACUGGAACUGAGACACGUUCCAGACUCCUACGGGAGGCAGCAGUGGGGAAUAUUGCACAAUGGGCGCAAGCCUGAUGCAGCCAUGCCGCGUGUAUGAAGAAGGCCUUCGGGUUGUAAAGUACUUUCAGCGGGGAGGCGUUACCCGCAGAAGAAGCACCGGCUAACUCCGUGCCAGCAGCCGCGGUAAUAC
rnacentral:rRNA from 1 species